CGGCUUAUGAUGAUAUGCUUAUAAAAGUUGGAAUUACCGACUGAUAAACCUAUUGUAUGAUGUCAAUUGAUCUGGCUGUCUGAGGCUGAUA
rfam:Musa acuminata subsp. malaccensis Doubled-haploid Pahang (DH-Pahang) genomic chromosome, chr5